rnacentral:tRNA from 1 species
GCCCUGGUAGCACAAUGGUUAGGUGCUUGGCUGUUUACCAAAAGGCUGGUGGUUCAAAACCACCCAGCAGCU